rnacentral:rRNA from 1 species
UACGUAGGGUGCGAGCGUUGUCCGGAAUUAUUGGGCGUAAAGAGCUCGUAGGCGGUGUGUCGCGUCGGCCGUGAAAACCUGGGGCUCAACUCUGGGCGUGCGGUCGAUACGGGCAUCACUUGAGUUCGGCAGGGGAGACUGGAAUUCCUGGUGUAGCGGUGAAAUGCGCAGAUAUCAGGAGGAACACCGGUGGCGAAGGCGGGUCUCUGGGCCGAUACUGACGCUGAGGAGCGAAAGCAUGGGUAGCGAGCAGG